CCUGUCCCGGAGGAGCCGGGUGAAGUGUCCCGGCCGCCCCCGGGCAGGGUGGCCGCUGAGCGGCUGCCGAGAAGCCGGUACCCGCGGSGGUGGCGGGGCCGAGCUCGGCCGCGAUGAGCCUUCAGGGAUGGUCGCGCCCUUCCCGCUGGACAGACACCAUCCCCGCAGCCCUCCUGGAGCCCAAGGGAGAGCCCGCUCGUCCCGCUUCCUUCCUGAGGUGUACAUGGAGGGGCAGAAACUUGCUCCGAAAUUAAGAUGUCUCACAGAGCUGUGGCAGCUGCCAGGCAAACACCUUUACCCUGGUGAGAGGGAGGUAUCGAGCAUUAUUCUCCAAGGGCCAGGAAUCAUCUUCUGACUGGAUUAAGCACUCUGGUAGUGUGAAAAAAUACAGCCACUCAUAUGGUUUUGAUUAAUGAUAGAACAGCUCCUGCAACCCUGUGGUUUUCAAGUUUCUUUUACGGCCUGUUGUGUGGAAGAUCAGCCAGUAA